GACGAACGCUGGCGGCGUGCUUAACACAUGCAAGUCGAGCGGGAAACUUCGGUUUCCAGCGGCGGACGGGUGAGUAACACGUGGGCAACCUGCCUCACAAUGAGGGAUAGCCCUCCGAAAGGAGGAUUAAUACCUCAUAACACAAGAGAAACGCAUGUUUCUCUUGCCAAAGAAUUUCGCUGUGAGAUGGGCCCGCGGCGCAUUAGCUUGUUGGGAGGGUAACGGCUCACCAAGGCUUCGAUGCGCAGCCGACCUGAGAGAGUGAUCGGCCACAUUGGAACUGAGACACGGUCCAGACUCCUACGGGAGGCAGCAGUGGGGAAUAUUGCACAAUGGAGGAAACUCUGAUGCAGCAACGCCGCGUGAGUGAUGAAGGUCUUCGGAUUGUAAAGCUCUGUCUUCUGGGACGAUAAUGACGGUACCAGAGGAGGAAGCCACGGCUAACUACGUGCCAGCCGCCGCCGUAAAAC
rnacentral:rRNA from 1 species